rnacentral:rRNA from 1 species
UACGGAGGGGGCAAGCGUUAUUCGGAAUUAUUGGGCGUAAAGGGCGCGUAGGCGGCGUGUCAAGUCAGGCGUGAAAGCCCCGGGCUCAACCUGGGAACCGCGCUUGAGACUGGCAUGCUCGAGUUCGGGAGAGGAUGGUGGAAUUCCCAGUGUAGAGGUGAAAUUCGUAGAUAUUGGGAAGAACACCGAUGGCGAAGGCAGCCAUCUGGACCGACACUGACGCUGAGGCGCGAAAGCGUGGGGAGCAAACAGG